rnacentral:sRNA from 1 species
CCUGUGACAUCAUUAGCGUGGGCUGUUUUAUCGAUUGAAGCACCUUCUACCAUUAAGAAGAAGCCGUUAUUAUUUUUCUCAAGUUUAUUUAAUGCACUUUGUU